CAACGCCCGUAACGCUGUAACGCAACACCGUGCAGUGUUGGAAACGUUAAAAAAAUAUCACGCGACGCGUACAGUGCGCGCGGUUUCGCAUAAGCCUCCGGUUUAAAUCCGUGCGAUAUUGCAACGGCGUCAGAACCCGCUGAGAUGAAUCUUAAAACCGAAUUACGGAAAUUAAUGAACUCGUAUAAAAUAUGGCGCCGCCGGGGUGACGUUGUUAUACGCACAUCCACUACACUCGUGUGUAAUAAUAAUAAUAAUAAUAAUAAUUUAUUACCGUUACGCUGCAGCGGGUACGUCAUUAUUUAAGACGUGUAUACAUCCGUACAACAGCGGUAGGCGCCCA